rnacentral:rRNA from 1 species
GACGAACGCUGGCGGCGUGCUUAACACAUGCAAGUCGAACGGAAAGGCUCUGCUUUUGUGGGGUGCUCGAGUGGCGAACGGGUGAGUAACACGUGAGUAACCUGCCCUUGACUUUGGGAUAACUUCAGGAAACUGGGGCUCAUACCGGAUAGGAGCUCCUGCUGCAUGGUGGGGGUUGGAAAGUUUCGGCGGGUGGGGAUGGACUCGCGGCUUAUCAGCUUGCUGGUGGGGUAGUGGCUUACCAAGGCUUGGACGGGUAGCCGGCCUGAGAGGGUGACCGGCCACAUUGGGACUGAGAUACGGCCCAGACUCCUACGGGAGGCAGCGGUGGGGAAUAGUGCACAAUGGGCGGAAGCCUGAUGCAGCGACGCGGCGUGCGGGAUGACGGCCUGCGGGUUGUAAACCGCUUUCGCCUGUGACGAAGCGUGAGUGAUGGUAAUGGGUAAAGAAGCACCGGCUAACUACGUG